rnacentral:rRNA from 2 species
AGGGAAACCGAGUCUUAACUGGGCGUUAAGUUGCAGGGUAUAGACCCGAAACCCGGUGAUCUAGCCAUGGGCAGGUUGAAGGUUGGGUAACACUAACUGGAGGACCGAACCGACUAAUGUUGAAAAAUUAGCGGAUGACCUGUGGCUGGGGGUGAAAGGCCAAUCAAACCGGGAGAUAGCUGGUUCUCCCCGAAAGCUAUUUAGGUAGCGCCUCGUGAACUCAUCUUCGGGGGUAGAGCACUGUUUCGGCUAGGGGGUCAUCCCGACUUACCAACCCGAUGCAAACUGCGAAUACCGAAGAAUGUUAUCACGGGAGACACACGGCGGGUGCUAACGUCCGUCGUGAAGAGGGAAACAACCCAGACCGCCAGCUAAGGUCCCAAAGUCACAGUUAAGUGGGAAACGAUGUGGGAAGGCUCAGACAGCCAGGAUGUUGGCUUAGAAGCAGCCAUCAUUUAAAGAAAGCGUAAUAGCUCACUGGUCGAGUCGGCCUGCGCGGAAGAUGUAACGGGGCUAAACUGUGCACCGAAGCUGCGGCAGCGACGCUUAUGCGUUGUUGGGUAGGGGAGCGUUCUGUAAGCCUGCGAAGGUGUCCUGUGAGGGAUGCUGGAGGUAUCAGAAGUGCGAAUGCUGACAUAAGUAACGAUAA